rnacentral:rRNA from 1 species
UACGAAGGGGGCUAGCGUUGUUCGGAAUCACUGGGCGUAAAGCGCACGUAGGCGGAUUUGUAAGUUAGGGGUGAAAUCCCGGGGCUCAACCUCGGAACUGCCUUUGAUACUGCAAGUCUAGAGUCCGAGAGAGGUGAGUGGAAUUCCUAGUGUAGAGGUGAAAUUCGUAGAUAUUAGGAAGAACACCAGUGGCGAAGGCGGCUCACUGGCUCGGUACUGACGCUGAGGUGCGAAAGCGUGGGGAGCAAACAGGAUUAGAUACCCCCGUAGUCC